CCCUUAAGGACCGGGCUCAUUUUUUCUUUUUGUACCCUGUGGGACCGAGGCUGUUAACACUUUUGCGGUGCUUGUGUUCAGCUGUAAUUUUCUCCUCACCCAUUUAGUGUACCCACACAUUGUUUUAUUAUACCAUAUGUUUUGAUCAUAUCACCUUAUUUACUAUAAAAAAAAAUAAUAAAACAUGGUGAAAAUUUGAAACAAAAAAAAAA